CCAUAUCAUGCUGAAACAUCAGAUCCCGUACGAUCUUCAAAGUUAGGCAACAUCGAGUUUGGUCAGUAUUUAGGUGGGUGACCGCUUGGGAAUACAAGAUGCU